rfam:Cicer arietinum chromosome Ca4, whole genome shotgun sequence.
UUCCCAGCUAAACGAGUAUUGUUUAUCUGAUUCAUGGAAGGCAGAAACUAUACAUGGUAAUUCGCUGCUAGCGCCUUUUAUCAUUAGAUGGUUGCUAGUAUAUUAUCUGACAUAU